GAUGAACGCUAGCGGCGUGCUUAACACAUGCAAGUCGAACGGAAAGGCCCAAGCUUGCUUGGGUACUCGAGUGGCGAACGGGUGAGUAACGCGUGGGUGAUCUGCCCUGCACUUCGGGAUAAGCCUGGGAAACUGGGUCUAAUACCGGAUAGGACGAUGGUUUGGAUGCCAUUGUGGAAAGUUUUUUCGGUGUGGGAUGAGCUCGCGGCCUAUCAGCUUGUUGGUGGGGUAAUGGCCUACCAAGGCGUCGACGGGUAGCCGGCCUGAGAGGGUGUACGGCCACAUUGGGACUGAGAUACGGCCCAGACUCCUACGGGAGGCAGCAGUGGGGAAUAUUGCACAAUGGGCGCAAGCCUGAUGCAGCGACGCCGCGUGGGGGAUGACGGCCUUCGGGUUGUAAACUCCUUUCGCUAGGGACGAAGCGUUUUUGUGACGGUACCUGGAGAAGAAGCACCGGCUAACUACGUG
rnacentral:rRNA from 1 species